rnacentral:lncRNA from 1 species
GGGCGUGCUUCAACUCAUAUGGAGCAGAUUUGGUACAACAUUUGCAAUCAUAGGCUUAGGGAGCCUAAUCAAACCUAUGGGCUAAAACUAAACAAAGGGAAGCCUAAAGUGAAGAUCAAGAAAAGCUUUUGUGAAUAUUCAGCUUUAUUAUGAUGGGCUUGCUAUGUUGUAUUAUUUAAAUACUUGUUUUAUUUUAGUUUUAUUUGGGUUUGUAUUCUGGCCAUAUUUUAUCUUUUAAGUUUUAAAGUGUCCGGCCAUGUUUUGGGUUUAUGUGUUAAUACUUAUGUGUUAUUUUAGUGUGUGAUUGGGCUUGGGCCUUAUGUGUUUAAAUUAGGCCUAAGAAGAGUGUCUUAGGGUUUUAUUUGUUUUCUCCUUACUAUAUAAGGAUAAGAAACACUUGUAAGAGGCAACUUUUAAUUAAAAUUAUCAGAAUUUUUUUCAUGCCUUUGGCGUGUAUUGCUUUGAGUGAGAGUGAGGAUUUGCUUUCAUCAAUUGCACCAAGAAUCUUGGCUAACUUAUCAACCAUUCGUUGUGGCGUUUGUCAGAUUCUCAUCUAAAUCCUUCGAUCAUUGGUGUUUCAACUUCUCUAAGUGUGGGGUGCCAUAGGAGGUAGGUUUAUCAAAUCUUUGAAUUCCUUAUCUACUGUGCGUGUGGGUUUGAGGCUUGUGCCAUAGGGUUCCGCGUCAGUUGGUAUCAGAGCCAAAGUGAGGUAAAUUCUUAUUUAUCUUAGGAUCUAGGGUUUUUUGAGUUUUCCUUUUCUUCCUUAUUGUUUUCAGUGAAAGCUUGUGUGUACAUGGCUGCACCUUCUUGAUUAUUAAUCAUCACGAAAAAAAAAUCGAAAUCCUUAAAAAAAAAGUCAAAAAUCAAAAAUCGUCUUUGCCUUAUUUAUCUUGAUCUGACCAAAAUUGUGAUAUGCUUCCUUUUUCGUCCAUAUUGCCUUACCUUAUCUCAAUUGAUUGCUGUUAUUUAUGGGAAUCAAUUUUAAAUUUUAAAUUUUGAAUUGGGUUGAAUCCAGAUUAGGAGAUAAAAAAAAUUUUGCCUAUUUCCUAACGUGCACAUUUAAGGCAAUUGCAUCUAAAUUGAUUUGAUGUCAAAUCCUUCUUUUAACACCAGAAUUUUCGUCCAUGUUUCUGAACCGAGUGAAAUUUAAAAUUUUUUUUUCUAAUUCUAUUUGUAGGGUCUUGAUACUUGCCUUUUUGAGUAAAUUUAAAUAGAUCCAUAUUUAAUUUACUUUGAAGUGAAUUAAAUUCAAUCUUUUGUCCAGAUUCGUUUUUAUUUGAAUUCUAAGUUUUCUUUUUGGUUUAAACUUGCUUUUACUUCCUUGACAUUGCUAGAGUAUUGUUUGUUUGUGUCUAUAAUCUAGGUGAUAUUUUUCAAAUAGCACAAAACCUAGUCCUUGUGUUACUUUCCAAAUUGUCAGUGUCUUCUUUCUAGUUUUGCACGUUUUCUUCUUUCUUUAGGUUUUCUUCUUUGUUUCAUUAAACGCACCUUAUAGUUGGUUGGUUGACCUUAGUUUCUGAAGUGCAAUUGAACAAUCAGCAAAAAAGUGGUAAGAGUGCAAACACUUGAGUGCUUUUAUUUCUGACACCAUAUUUGCUAGUUCUCUUUGUUCUUCAUUGAUUUAAGGCAGGAUGAGUAAAUAUAAAAAUGUAGUGGAUAGUGAUGAUGAAAGUGAAUGGGACAUGGCUAGUGAUUAUAAACUCUUCAAAAAGUCAGUUAGUAGUGAGUUUAGAAUGAUUUAUAAAACUCUUGAGAGAUUGACUGAAACUAUGGAGAUUUUAAAUGUCUCACAAGCUUCCACUUCUAUAAGAAUACCUCAAAGAACUCUUAAUUGCAAUAAGGACUGUGAUGAUUCGGAUGUGUUUGUUGAUUAUGUGUUGCUUGCUAAACAUGGUGAGAUGCUUGUUGCUAGGCGUGCUCUGAAUAUGCAGGUUAAGGAAAAAAGUCUAGAACAACGGAAAAACAUAUUUCACACUAGGUGUUUGGUUAAUGGAAAAGUGUGUAGUCUCAUUAUUGAUGGAGGUAGUUGCACAAAUGUGGCUAGUGUGUAUAUGGUGGAGAAAUUGGGCUUGACUUCUAUUAAACACCCUAAGCCAUACAGAUUGCAAUGGUUGAACAAUUCUGGUGAGGUUACGGUUACACGCCAGGUGGUUAUACCAUUUUCUAUUGGUAGGUACAAGGAUGAGAUCUUGUGUGAUGUGGUACCUAUGCAGGCAAGCCAUAUGUUGUUAGGUAGACCGUGGCAAUAUGAUAGAAAAGUGCAACAUGAUGGGCUCAAUAACAAGUACUUCUUCAUUCAUGAAGGACAGAAAGUUAUACUCGCUCCUUUAUCACCUCAAGAGGUAUAUGCUGAUCGAAUAAAAAUACUGGAGAGGGCGAGGGAGGCUUCGGCCUUGGCUACAAAGGGGAGUGAGAGCUUGAGUUCUGAGGAAAAAAUGAGAGAAAAGAGUGAGUUUGAGGGUAAAGAGGCUGGAAAAGAAUCAAGACUAGUUCAAGGAGGGAAGAUGGAGAAAGAAAAUGAGAAAGAAGAAGCUAAAUUUCCAAUCUCAACUUCCAUAGAGAUUGAAAUUGAAGAGGAAGUUGUAAUGCAUGAAUCUAAUGUUGUUGUUGAAAAUUCCAUCAAUGAGCUUAUAGAAGAGGUUGUGAAUGAUGGUGGACAUGGGGAGCACAUGAUUGAUGAGGUGGAAGAGGUGAAUGAGACUGUUUUGGAAGUUAUAGAGGAGAAUUGGUCACAUCCACAGGAUCUUUCUAUGGCCAAUAUUUUUAUGCCUAGUUCAUUUGUUUUUGAUGUGCAGGUUGAUGAAAACAUCCAUGAUGAAAGUUUUAUGCUAUUUCCAUCUAUUCAAGAUGGGAUCUUUGAAGAUGCAUGGGUUCCUAAAGCUUCCCUUCUUGACAUAAAUAUCAACAAGAUUCGAGAACGAAUCUUUUCUAAAGAAAGAGGGAAUGAUACGGAUCCAAUAGGGCAAAUUUCUAACAAUGGUGUGGAGCAAACUUAUGUCAUUCAAAUGGAUCUAAAAGGAGUUCAAAAUCAUAUUCAUAUGAUCCAUAUAUAUUUGGAGCGUGCUUCAACUCAUAUGGAGCAGAUUUGGCACAACACUUGCAAUCAUAGGCUUAGGGAGCCUAAUCAAACCUAUGGGCUAAAACUACACAAAGGGAAGGCUAAAGUGAAGAAGGCUUUUGUGAAGAUUCAGCUUUAUUAUGAUGGGCUUGCUAUGUUGUAUUAUUUAAAUACUUGUUUUAUUUUAGUUUUGUUUGGGCUUGUAUUCGGCCAUAUUUUAUCUUUUAAGUUUUAAAGUGUUGGGCCAUGUUUUGGGCAUAUGUGUUAAUACUUAUGUGUUAUUUUAGUGUGUGAUUGGGCUUGGGCCUUAUGUGUUUAAGUCAGACCUAAGAAGAGUGUUUUAGGAUUUUAUUUGUUUUCUCCUUACUAUAUAAGAAUAAGAAACACUUAUAAGAGGUAGCUUUUAAUCAAAAUUAU